rnacentral:rRNA from 1 species
UACCUGGUUGAUCCUGCCAGUAGUCAUAUGCUUGUCUCAAAGAUUAAGCCAUGCAUGUCUUAGUACAGGCAUUUAUAUUGUGAAACCGCGAAUGGCUCAUUAAAUCACACCUAAUGUACUGGAUAGUUACAAUUACUUGGAUAACUGCGGUAAUUCUGGAGCUAAUACAUGUUGCAAGCCCCGAAUGUGAAUGAGGGGCGCUUUUAUUAGAUCAAAACCAAUCGUUUAUGACGUUCAUCUGGUGAUUCUGAAUAACUCUGGCAGAUCGCAUAGCCUUGCGCUGGCGACGUAUCCAUCCAAGGUGUGCCCUAUCAACUUUCGAUUGUGGCAUAGACGCCCACAAUGGUAAUGACGGGUAACGGGGAAUCAGGGUUCGAUUCCGGAGAGGGAGCCUGAGAAACGGCUACCACUUCUAAGGAGGGCAGCAGGCACGCAAAUUACCCAAUGGUCGAAGACCGAGGUAGUGACGAAAAAUAACGAUACCGGACUCAUCCGAGGCCCGGUAAUUGGAAUGAGUACAUUUUAAAUCCUUUAACGAGGAUCAAUUGGAGGGCAAGUCUGGUGCCAGCAGCCGCGGUAAUUCCAGCUCCAAUAGCGUAUAUUAAAGUUGUUGCGGUUAAAAAGCUCGUAGUUGGAUCUCGGCAGAUGACGCGUGGUGCUUUGUUAAAAGCUUACUGCUUGUUCAUCUGUGUCUUUUACACUGGGGGGAUGGUGUUCUUAACUGAGCGUCGUUGUCUCAUGUGAGGUUUACUUUGAAAAAAUUAGAGUGCUCAAAGCAGGCUUAACGCUUGAAUAUUCGUGCAUGGAAUAAUGGAAUAGGACUUUGCUUCUAUUUUGUUGGUUUGGGGAGCGAAGUAAUGAUUAAUAGGGACAGCCGGGGGCACUAGUAUUGCAACGACAGAGGUGAAAUUCUAUGACCGUUGCAAGACUAACUACUGCGAAAGCAUUUGCCAAGAGUGUUUUCAUUAAUCAAGAACGAAAGUUAGAGGAUCGAAGGCGAUCAGAUACCGCCCUAGUUCUAACCAUAAACGAUGCCAGCUAGCGAUCCGCAGAUGUUUUUUUCGUAGGCUCUGCGGGGAAGCUUCCGGUAAACCAAAGCUCGUGGGUUCCGGGGGAAGUAUGGUUGCAAAGCUGAAACUUAAAGGAAUUGACGGAAGGGCACCACCAGGAGUGGAGCCUGCGGCUUAAUUUGACUCAACACGGGAAAUCUCACCAGGCCCGGACACUGUGAGGAUUGACAGAUUGAGAGCUCUUUCUUGAUUCAGUGGGUGGUGGUGCAUGGCCGUUCUUAGUUGGUGGAGUGAUUUGUCUGGUUAAUUCCGAUAACGAACGAGACUCUGUCCUACUAAAUAGCUGUAAUGUUAUUUGCAUUUGCAUCUUCUUAGAGGGACUGGCGGCGUCUAGUCGCACGAGAUUGAGCAAUAACAGGUCUGUGAUGCCCUUAGAUGUUCUGGGCUGCACACGCGCUACACUGAAGGGAUCAGCGUGUUUUCCCUUUCUGAGAGGAAUGGGUAACCCGCUGAACCCCCUUCGUGGUAGGGAUCGGAGCUUGCAAUUAUUCUCCGUGAACCAGGAAUUCCCAGUAAGCGCAAGUCAUAAGCUUGCGUUGAUUACGUCCCUGCCCUUUGUACACACCGCCCGUCGCUACUACCGAUUGAGCGUUUUAGUGAGCUCUUCUGACUGGCGCUAUUGAAAGUGGCAACGCUCUCGAUUGACUGCCGGAAAGAUGCGCAAACUUGUACGCUUAGAGGAAGUAAAAGUCGUAACAAGGUUUCCGUAGGUGACCUGCAGAAGGAUC